GGCAUUUACUGUGUGUGACAGUCCUGCAUUAGACACUGUGAUUCAGCCAUGAACUAGAAGGCAAAGUUCUGGCCAACAGAAAGCUCACAUUCCAGGACUGCAGUCUUUCCUUAGUCACAGAGGCGUCCAUGUCCUCAGCCUGCCCACUAUGCACCUAUUAACUCAUCAGAUCUGCAUCUCUAGAUUCAUCUUCUCUAUGCCAGGUAUUAUACCAGUCAACACUUUAUGUAUUUCAUCCUCAUGACAACUCCACAUGCUCCAUGGGAGCCUUAAAAGCCAACAUCCUACAAUCAUGAUGAAAACCGGCAGCCUAGCAGUCAGUGGAGAGGGCAGAAUGAGGUUGGAGCACCUUCAAAGCCUCAUUCGUGAGAAUUUUCAUUAUGCGACCUGCUGGUGGAUUCUGGAAUACCAAUUAUUUAGCUGGACUCAGACAUCUGCUGUACAACAUUGUGUUUAUGGUUAACAAUGUAUAUUGUACACUUAAAAAUUUGUUAAGAGAGUAGAUCUCAUGUUAUGUGUUUUUUACCACAACAAAAAAGCACUCAGAUUAGAAAGGAAGAAGCAAAGCUAUCUGUAUUUGCCAUAAUCUUAUUUGUAGAAAAUCUUAAUGAAUCCACAAAAAUAUUAGGAAAGCUGGUAAUCAAGUUCAGCAAAGUUGCAGGAUACAGGGAUUUCUGUACAAUAGCAAUGAUCAUUCUGAAAAUGAAAUAUCAAUAAAAUCUACUUACAGUAGCAUCGAAAAUAAUAAAUGCGUCAAAAGAAGUAGAAGAGUGAUUAAACUAUGAAUGAUUAAAGACUACUUAAAUAAAUGUAAGUGUAUCUCAUGCUCAUAGAUUAGAAGAUAAUAUUGUUAAGAUGACAAUAGUCCCCAAAUCAAUGUACAGAUUCAAAUUCAAUGUAAUAUUUAUUAAAAUCCCAGAUGACUUCUUUGCAGAAAUUUACAAGCUGACUCUAAAGUUCAUAUGAAAGUGCAAGGGACAUAAGAUAGCCAAAAAUCUUGAAAAAGAACAAAGUUGGAUAGCCCACACUUCCCAAUUUCAAAACUGGCUACAAAACAAUAAUAAUCAAGACUGUGUGGUACUGGUAUAAGGAUAGACAUAUAGACUAAUGGAAUAUAAUUGAAAGUCUAGAAAUUAAGCAAUAAAUGUGGAAGCAAUUAAUUUUCAAAAAUAGUGCCAAGACAAUUCAAUGGAUAAAGAAUAGUUUUUUCAGUAAGUGGUGUUGUGAAAAAUGGACAGCUCCAUGCAAAAGAAUGAACUUGGACCCUAACUCUCACCAUAUACAAAAAUUAACUCAAAAUGAAUCAAAGAUCUAAAUGUAACAGCGACAACUAUACAAGUCCUAGAAGAAAAUGUCGGUAUAAAUAUUUAUAUUAGGCAAUGGUUUCUUAGAUGUGACACCUAAAGCACAAGAAACCAAAGAAAAAUAAUAGAUAAGUUGGACUUCAUCAAAAUUAAAGACUGUUGUGCUACAAAACAUACUCUCAGGAAAGUAAAAAGACAACCCUCUAGAAUGGAAGAAAAUAUUUACAAAUCAUUUAUCUGAUACGAAUAUGGUAUCCAGAAUAUAGAAACAACUCUUAGAACUCAACAAUUGGAACACAAAUAAUUCAAUAAUAAAGGUGAACAAAGAACUUAAAUAGAUAUUUCUACAAAAAAAGUUCAAAUGGCCAAUAAGCACAUGAAAAGAUGCUCAAGAUAAUUAUUAAGGAAAUGCAAAUCAAAACCAUCUAGCGAUACAACUUUAUAGCCCGUUGUUUGCAAUAACAAAAAAAACUGGGAGCCACUUAGUCAUUCAUCAUCAUGGACUCUGUUAGACACAAUCAUAUAAUGAAAAAAUAUAGUCAUUAAAACGUGAGCUAGAACUGUAUGUCCUGAUAUGGAAAAGCCUUCAAGAUAUGUAGUCUGUUUUCACACUGCUAUAAAGAACUGCCCAAGACUCGGGCAGUUAAAGAAAAGAGAUUUAAUUGACUCACAGUUCCACGUGGCUAGAAAGGCCUCAGGAAACUUAUGAUCAUGGCAGAAGGGGAAGCAGGCACAUCUUACAUGGCGGCAGGUGAGAGAGAGCAAAGGGAGAAAAGUCCCUUAUAAAACCAUCAGAGCUCAUGAGAACUCACUCACUAUCACACGAACAGCAUGGGGGUAACCACCCCCAAGAUCCAAUCACCUCCCACCAGGUCUCUCCCUCGACAUGUGGGGAUUAUGGGGAUUAAAAUUUAGGAUGAGAUUUGGGUGGGGACACAGAGCCAAACCAUAUCACCCACGAAGAUGGCUACAAUCAAAAAGAUAGACAAUAAUAAGUAUUGGUGAGGAUUAAAGAAAUUAAAACCCUUGUGCAUUUUGGGGGGAAUGUAAAGUGAUACAGCCAUUUUGGAAAAACAGUUUGGCAGUUCUAUAAAAUGUUAAACAUAGAGAUACCAUGUGACCCAGGAAUUCCACUCUUAGGUAUAUAUCCAAUGAGAACUGAAACCUAUGUUCAUGCAGAAAUUUGUACAUAAAUUAUCAUAACAAAAUUGUUAAUAGUCAUAAAGUGUAAACAAUCUCAAUAUCCAUCAACUGAUGAAUAGUUAAACCAAUUGUAGUAUAUCCAAACAAAGAAUGUUAUUCAGCCAUAAAAAGAAAACACUAAUUCAUGGCUGCAUCAUGGAUAAAUCUUAAAAUCAUGUUCAGUGAAAGAACUGAGACACAAAAGCUCACAUAUUGUAUAAUUCCAUUUAUGUGACAUGUUCAGAAUAAGCAAAUCUAUACAGGCAGAAAGUGGAUUAGUGGUAGCCAGGGACUAGAAUGAGGGAGGGGAGAAUGGAGAGUGACUGCUUAUAAGUAUGAUGUUUCUUUCUAGGGUUAUGAAAAUAUUCUACAAUUAGAUUGUGGUAAUGGUUGCACAACAUGAAUAUACUAAAAGCCACAGAAUUAUAUACUUUUAAAGGGUCAAUUUUGUGUUAUAUGAAUUUUAUCUCAAAAAUAAAGGUUUCAUAAUUUAUCUAUCAGAUUAGCACAAAAAUUAAAAUUUGAGAAUGCCCAGUAUUCACAAGUUUAAAGGGAAAUGAGCCACUUCAUACACUGUGUCUGGUAAGGUAAACAGAUUCAACUCCUUUGAAAGACAAUUAGGCAACAUUUAUCAAUGUUUUGCCUGCACACUGACUCCACAAUUCUGCUAAAAAUUUAGCCAGUAGAUGUACUGGUAUAGUAUGCCAAAAUUAUGUUCAAAAAAGAUUCACUGAAACCAUUUUUGCAAUUACAAAAAAACUGGUAGCCACUUAGACAUUCAUUAGCAUUGGCUCUGUUAAAUACAACCAUAUAAUGAAAAAAUAUAGUCAUUAAGACAUGAGCUAGAACUGUAUGUGCUGAUAUGGGAAAGGCUUUAAGAUAUGUUAUGUUGAGAAAAACCAGUGUGUGCAGCACUUUGUGAAAUAAGCCAGGCACAGAAAGAUAAAUACCACAUGAUCUCACUCAUAUGUGGAAUCUAAAGAAGUUGAUCUCAUUAAAGUAGAGAGUAUAAUAGUUGUCACUGAAGCUGGGGAGGGGAGGGAGGAGGGGAGAAUACGAAGAGAUUGAUCAAUAGGUACAAAGUUACAGUUAGAUAGCAGGAAUAAAUUCUGAUGUUCUUUGAACAGUAGGGUGACUAUUGUUAACAAUAUUGGAUCGUAUGUUUCAAAAUACAUAGAACAGAGGAUUUUGAAUGUUCUCUCUACAAAGGAAAGAUAAAUGUAUGAGGUGAUGAAUAUGCUAAAUAACCUGACUUGAUUUUUUACAGAAUGUAUCAAAAUACCACACUGUACCUCAUAAAUAAGCAUAAUAUUGUGUGUCAAUUAAAAACAAAAUUUUCAAAAUGAAA